GACGAACGCUGGCGGCGUGCCUAAUACAUGCAAGUUGAGCGCUGAAGGUUGGUACUUGUACCAACUGGAUGAGCAGCGAACGGGUGAGUAACGCGUGGGGAAUCUGCCUUUGAGCGGGGGACAACAUUUGGAAACGAAUGCUAAUACCGCAUAAAAACUUUAAACACAAGUUUUAAGUUUGAAAGAUGCAAUUGCAUCACUCAAAGAUGAUCCCGCGUUGUAUUAGCUAGUUGGUGAGGUAAAGGCCCACCAAGGCGAUGAUACAUAGCCGACCUGAGAGGGUGGUCCGCCCCAAUUGGACUGAGACCCGGCCCAAACUCCCACGGGAGGCAGCAGUAGGGAAACUUUGGCAAUGGACGAAAAUCUGACCGAACAACGCCGCGUGAGUGGAGAAAGUUCUCGGAUCGUAAAACUCUGUUGGUAGGGAAGAACGAUGGUGAGAGUGAAAAGCUCAUCUAGUGACGGUAACUAACCAGAAAGGGACGGCUAACUACGUG
rnacentral:rRNA from 1 species